rnacentral:ncRNA from 1 species
UAACCCACCUUGUCGAACAAGGUGGCUCCCGUUAAACACGCGCCAAACGGCGGGAGUAAAAUCUCGCGAAUUGCUGGAACCCCCUAAAGCCAACUUGACCACAACGUAGCCGGUGACGGCAGGCGUGAUGGUUUAAAAACAAGUUGGAUGCAACAAUGGGCAACCAGCAGCCAAGCAUCUCUGGAAACGGAGAUGAAGGUUCAACGACUAUUGAAACUUCCUACAGCUCCCCAUACAAUGAAUAUAAUUAUAAAAAGUUUGGAGUGGGGGAGCCAUGGAAGGAGUAAAUCGUAACACUCGGCAACGAGGUUACGAGGCGCGAGACAAAGAAGAGAUGUUAAAAAAUUGUUCCAUCACCUUAUCAACAUGGAGAUAUAAAAUUGAAACGCAAAUAUGAAACAUUCUCUUCUUUGAUGAUAUAGUCUGACCUCCGUUCGAAAGACGGAG